CAUUAAUUAAAAAAAAUUUUUUUUUGAAUUUUGCCACUGUCCGUAGCUAAGGAAAGACAUUGUCUUAAUGGCAAUAGCAAGAAAUCUUAGCACACAAAGUUUGUCAUUGGUAUCCAUCUCAAUUCACUAGGAAGAAUUAGACAUAACCUCCUGAGGUUUUAAAUUCAGUAACAAACAAUUUUAUAUCAUCCAAUUAGUUCUGACAACAAACUACCAGUGUGCAAGUAGCUUUCAAUAUCCUAAACUUGUUUUUUAAACGUAAAGAUCCUGGAUACUUUGGUGAAAAGUAGUAGCUAAGUAUAAAGGACUUAGGUUAAGUUGGCACACUGAGAAUACCAAACUUGGAAAAGAUAUCCCCAACACAGUUCAAGGAAACUCUGAGGCUAUAAUUUUAAACAGACGGUCCAAGCCAUUUCGUAAGCAGUGGUCUAGGAUGAAGAAGACUGUUUUACCUGGCAAAUUAUAUUUGUAGGGACUGUCAGUUUAGCUGGCAGCAGCACUUGCUUUCCCUAUAAUUGGAAACUUUCUUUUAAAAUAUGGCUUUUAUAUACAUACAAUACCUGCUGUAGCACCCUGAGAAUACCAGCUAGUCCUGGCAUGAAUUUCAAUGUAAUAUGAUUAAAAUCACUCUUACAUAGAAUUUCUGAAUGGAAAUAUCUACGAUAAGGUAAUGAGCUGGAAAAAAUGAACAUAAGUAUGAGUUCCCAGCUAGAGGAAUCCUUCAGAGACAAAUUAUGAAAUGGGGACUCUGAAUCAUGUUUAGGCAUUCCCUUUUGUGAUUAGUCAAGUAUAAUUUACUGAGCACUCAUUAGGUGCUAAAAGUUCUUCAGUGUAGAAGCCUCCAUUCUGAUAUAAUCCAGGUUUAGGUGAACUGAACUCAUUUGAAUCAGUUCUUCCUCCCAAACCCUAAAAAGAUGACAAUUUAAGUUCUAGAUAUUUAAAAUAUUUAAAACAGAUGAAAUUUAGCAUUAUGCCAAGCUCAUGGUAAAUACACCAAAGUACAAGCUUGACUCUACUAAAACAAAUGAUAAAUCAUGAGUCACCUCAUGAUUUGAUUUAUGCUUUUCCCCUUUGACCUUCAAUUCUAAAUCUGCCACUUAUAAACUCUGACACAGCAAAAAGCUGAGAGUUAUGCUUUGUUUUUACAUUUUUCAAUGGAAAUUCCAUUUAGGGAAUGAUGUAAGGCAAAAACGGGUCUCCUUCCACUACUUCCCAUAUUUUCCUCUGCUCUCAGUGACUUAUGGUUACUAGUGGUUUCUGACUAAGCAACAGCUCCAAUGACACUCAUCUCCCAGCAGAGCUCCCUACACAUCUGCUAGCCUCCAAAACCCUCAGAUUGGUCCCGUGACUCUUUGAAGCUGUAAUGUUCAGUAUGAUGAUCCCUAUGGUAUGGGGCAGUUCAUAACAAUUGUUACAGUUGUCUAAUUAUUCGUUGGACAUGACAGUGUACACACUGUGCAUACAGUAGUGAAUACUGUCCAUGGGAACUCCAUGACUGGGAAUUACCAGUGGAGAAAGGAGGGGUGCUUGUCCUAGGAAUUCUUCCAAACAAUCAUUGUGUUCAGUGUUCCCCUUCAGAAGGCUGAGAAUUUGAUCUGUAUAAAGACAGAGGGGAUCAUGUUUUCUUCAGUGCCACUCAGAGCCUGGAAGCAGAAUACACUGCCCUGGAUUUCACUGUCCCUUAGAGUGAGCUCUCAUGGGCUGUGGUUGCUCGGCUGCUCAAGCCUUAGAGUGUCUGGUGCAGAGUCAUUCAUUCUCUUAGGCAGAUCCAAACUUAGCUCACCAGAGAAGGUGGUUCUUGUUCUUCAUGUGCCUCAUUUAUAUGUGACACAUACAGAAAAUAAAUACUGAUGCACAUUUCGUUUUCCUUCAGUUUCUCAAGUUUGGUCAUGUAAAAGGAGCUCAAAAUGACAUGGCGGUGCAUAAGAUAUGACCUUCCAAAAAAUGAACUUUUAGCUUGUAUUACAAUCUUCCUCAUGAGUCCUGCCCGAAGCAACCAAGAGGAGAGGAUUGUGAAAGGAAAAUUUCCUUCUUCUCACACUAGAUCUUCAAGAAGAUAAUCUUCAUCAAGAUGGACAGAGAAGCACAGAGGAAGCUGAUGGUGGAAAGAACAUGCCAGAGGUCAGAGACCUGGAAAGUUAAACAGACAGCUGUCUCUAAAGGACUCCAGGGAAAGAGAUUGGCUACAAGGACCAUAUCUGAGAUAGACC